ensembl:lncRNA
AUUGCACGCCAACAAGUUUUUAACAUCCCAAAGGUGCGCUCGAUGAUGUUCCGUGCUUGUGCAUGAUGCCUGUUGUAUCGGGCUUCAACUUGGCCUGUUAAUCAAAAAUCGUGUAGAAAAUGUGUGGUGUAUUGCAAAUUCAUGACAGUAACAAUUUGGUUUAUCGUGUGUGUGUGUCUGUCUGUCUGUCUGACAUAAAAAAGUGUUCUUACUUGCGACAGGCUGGCGGUAUGGGGUCAUGAUUGCAAUAGGAUGCUGCAGGCAAGGGUAUCCACCAUCUCCCAAAAGAUAGUAUCCAGCUGGUGGAUACAGAGCCUGCUGCAUUGCAGGAGGAACAAUCCUGAUGUGGCACCCGUCGAUGGCACCAGCAGCACAGCGGAAUGCCUCAUGGCCAGCAAGGCGAGCAAAGCCACCCCCCACCUCAUCCAUUUCCUCUGCUUUUGGAAAAUGAAUAAUUUUGUGGAGGAUGGUCAUCAUCUCCUCCACAACAUUGUGAACAGUCCUACAAACUCUUGAAAGUGGCAUGCUGAAGUUAUCUGAUGUGACCCUGUAGGAUGCUCCACAGGCAAGCCAAUAAACCGUAACAAGUACUUCAAUUUCACGGCUCCAUCCAUUGGCUUUUUGACGGGGCAGCAUCUGUACCAGCAUGUUGAUGCUGUUCCUGGAGAGCCUGAAAGCUGGCUUUAAAUCCUCUCCAGAAAAAAACUUGACCAGGAUUGGUACCUGGUCAUUGAUCUGUGAAUACCUGCGAGUGGGGCUUUGUUCCUGUUAAAAUAUAUAGAUAAUAUAUAAAUUAAGAAUGUUUUUACUUUUGUUGUAUUAUGUAUUUGUUAUGUAUUGCUUUUAAAAAGUUUUUACUAUAUGUACUGUUGUUGCAUUAUGUAUUUAUUAUAUUUUUGGAUUUUUAAAAUGUUUUUACUAUAUUUAAUGUAUUUAUUACUAUAGGCUAUUUAUUCAGUUGUUUUAAGGAUUUUGUCUAAAAUGUAUUAAUAUCUGCCAUAAUUAAAUUUCCCUCUAACAUUUGCUCUUUUCGUGAAGUAUUUCUUUUAUACUCAAUUUCGGUUUCAUUCAUUUAUUGAUAAGCUCUAGCACAACAUUCAUCCCAGAGUCUAAAAGUUGUAGCCUAUAUGAUUAUUAUAGACAUUAAAUUGUCCUGUUUGUGUUAAUGCAG